AAAAAGAAAAGAAUGAUUCAGGUGCGAUUUAAUGAAAAUGCAAGACUUAAACAUAUGGCACCGGCCCAGGGGAACAACGGAAGCCCCAGGACACCCCAUGUGCGUGAUGAGACCACAAAUCUCUAGAGAGCAAAGAUUUCUCCGAGGGCCGAGCAAAGGAAGGCGGACGCUGCUGGGAAAGAAACCCUAGAGUUUUCCGACUUGAUUCUCAGGAAUUUGGAGACAUGGUACAGUACUUUCUGAGCAAUUCCUUGCUGAGGAAUUUCUUUUCCCUGCUGGUUUGACAUUAAACAGAUUUGUGAACCUUUAGAAGGUACCACUGUGGGGACUCCAGAGAGUGACAGGGUUGAAAGGGUCCCCUGAACCUCCCUCAGAGAGACUUUCCUCCAGAAUCACCCUCAAUGAUCCCUCAGUGUGGAUUAAGUUCUUAAACUUUUUCAUCUGAAUUUGAGGUUUGGGGAUGGCUUACAGUAGUCAAAGCUGUUCUUGGCACUAUGGUCGCUCCAGUCGUGGCAUGUCAUGAAGCCCACUGUCCGGCCUCCUGGCUCAGAGACGUCACCAUGGAGACAUCUGACUGCAAUUGUGACCCGCUGCAGAUGGCGGCAGAGUAGGAGGAUGCUGCACGGACAUGCUCCCAGACACAAGAUGGAAUAAUGACUGAAAUAUGGAAAGGCUUCCUGAAUAAUCAAUGGAAAACUCACAGGAGAGAACCCUGCUACCC